rnacentral:rRNA from 1 species
CCUACGGGUGGCAGCAGUGGGGAAUAUUGCGCAAUGGGCGAAAGCCUGACGCAGCGACGCCGCGUGGGUGAAGAAGGGCCUCGGCGCGGAAAGCCCUGUCAGCAGGGAAGAAAAUGACGGUACCUGAAGAAGAAGCCCCGGCUAACGACGUGCCAGCAGCCGCGGGAAUACGUAGGGGGCAAGCGUUAUCCGGAGUUACGGGGUGUAAAGGGGGCGGAGCCGGCGAGGCAAGCCAGGAGUGAAAGCCCGGGGCCCAACCCCGGGACUGCUCUUGGAACUGCGUGGCUGGAGGGCAGGAGGGGCAGGCGGCAUUCCUGGUGUAGCGGUGAACUGCGUAGCUAUCCGGCGGAACCCCGGUGGCGCAGGCGGCCUGCUGGACUGCAACUGACGUUGCGGCCCGCAAGCGUGGGGAUCAAACAGGAUUAGAUCCCCUAGUAGUC